CGGGGGGAGCAAGCGUUGUUCGGAUUUACUGGGCGUAAAGGGCGCGUAGGCGGCCACCGCAAGUCGACUGUGAAAUCUCCGGGCUUAACCCGGAAAGGUCAGCCGAUACUGCGGGGCUAGAGUGCAGAAGGGGCAACUGGAAUUCUCGGUGUAGCGGUGAAAUGCGUAGAUAUCGAGAGGAACACCUGCGGCGAAGGCGGGUUGCUGGGCUGACACUGACGCUGAGGCGCGAAAGCUAGGGGAGCGAACGGGAUUAGAUACCCCGGUAGACCUAGCCUUAAACGAUGAAUGCUUGGUGUCUGGGGUUUUAUAGUCCCCGGGUGCCGUCGCUAACGCUCUAAGCAUUCCGCCUGGGGAGUACGGUCGCAAGACUG
rnacentral:rRNA from 1 species